GAUGAACGCUAGCGGCAGGCCUAAUACAUGCAAGACGAACGGUAAGCUUUGUAGCAAUACGAAGCCUAGAGUGUCGCAAGGGUGCGUAACACGUAUGCAAUCUACCCUGUACAGGAGUAUAGCUCCCCCGAAAGGGGAAUUAACCCUCCAUAACAUAGCGAGUCGGCAUCGACUUGCUAUUAAAACUGAGGUGGUACAGGAUGAGCAUGCGUCUGAUUAGCUAGUUGGUAGUGUAAUGGACUACCAAGGCGAUGAUCAGUAGGGGAACUGAGAGGUUGAUCCCCCACACUGGCACUGAGAUACGGGCCAGACUCCUACGGGAGGCAGCAGUAGGGAAUAUUGGACAAUGGGUGAGAGCCUGAUCCAGCCAUGCCGCGUGCAGGAAGAAGGGCCUUCGUGGGUUGUAAACUGCUUUUAUCUGGGGAUAAAAAGGCCUUGCGAGGCAAACUGAAGGUACCAGAUGAAUAAGCCACGGCUAAC
rnacentral:rRNA from 1 species